AUGACGGUACAGUAAGAAGAAGCACCGGCUAAUUACGUGCCAGCAGCCGCGGUAAUACGUAGGGUGCGAGCGUUAAUCGGAAUUACUGGGCGUAAAGUGUGCGCAGGCGGUUGAGCAAGUCGAGUGUGAAAGCCCCGAGCUUAACUUGGGAAUUGCGCUCGAAACUACUUGACUGGAGUGUGGCAGAGGAAGGUGGAAUUCCACGUGUAGCGGUGAAAUGCGUAGAGAUGUGGAGGAACACCAAUGGCGAAGGCAGCCUUCUGGGCCAACACUGACGCUCAUGCACGAAAGCGUGGGGAGCAAACAGGAUUAGAUACCCUGGUAGUCCACGCCCUAAACGAUGACGACUAGUUGUUGGAGGAGUUAAAUCCUUUAGUAACGCAGCUAACGCGCGAAGUCGUCCGCCUGGGGAGUACGGUCGCAAGAUUAAAACUCAAAGGAAUUGACG
rnacentral:rRNA from 1 species